ACCGCAGUAAUAAUAUACUCAUGUGUCGGGGUUUCCAACAACAUACCUUCCCCUUAUCAUAAGGGUUGUUCAACUCAGUUUUUAAGAUUUCCGCACCAAUCAAGUGAUUUGGACAGUUUUAUAAACAUACAUAUAGUCUAUCCGAAUCAAAUGGCAUCGACUCUUUCACAAUAUUCAAGAUCAAUACUAAGUUCAUCAUGAAUAAUAGUUCUCACAAGGGUUUAAGCAUAUUAACUCAUUUGAACGAGAAAGUAAUAUAACUUGUAUUCAAAAAAAUAAGUUUACGGUAUUCGUCGAAUAAAGAAUGCAAAGAUACUUGCACAAUAAGAGUAGGGUUCGGAUACUUGCCUAAAGCGUUGAUUACCACUUAUAGCGUAAAAUCACUCAACGAACUAUAUUAUCCUAUUUAUGUAUGUAUAGGUACUCAUUAGUCACACAUCUUGACAUAAAUCUUAACAUGCAAUUAUCACACAUAUAUGUAUCCAUACACCUUAGAACUCAUAGAUGUAUAAUUGACAUUGUUCUUACUUUUAAAAACCUUAAAAACAUUUUAGCAAGUUUAAGUCUCAUAUACUCAUUUCAUG
rnacentral:lncRNA from 1 species